GUAAGUUCCAAUCAACAAGCAGGCUAUUCAGAGAGAUGAAAGGAGGAGCAGGGGGUAAGAUUAGAACUCUGGUUCCCCAAGGCUCUGUUCAUGUAUUCUCUCAAGGCCUUAAACCAGAAAUGGAAUGGCUCCAGAGGUCAAUUUCACAAUAACUCAAAAUAUAUUUAUAUCACGCUAAGCUGACAGCUGAGGCAUUUACACUUUGUCUUUUCACAGGGCAUGUAAGUAACUGUGGAAAGGCUUAAGUUUCCCUGCCUUAAAUACGUUUCCAACAUACUUGUGAAACACUCACCAUGAUAAGUCAUGCCCAUUUUAAAGUAAAUCUAAUCUAUGUAUAUAAAAAAUUAUGGUGGUUCUUUCAGUGUCUUAUGAAAAAUGGGAAAGGGACCGGGCUGAGUUAGUGCUUUUUUUCUCGUCUUUGAAGGCAGAUAGAACUUGAGAAGUCAAUUACUACUGAGAGUGAAAGCCUAGAGACUGAUGAAAGAACUCAGCACCCAAUAGCCUUCCUUGAAGCUUCACUGAGCACUAGUGUGUUGGUGGGCUGGCCUGAGCCAUGAGUGUCAUUUGAGAAAGAGCAAAACUCUAAUAAUCAAACAGUAAGAGAGGAAAGGACAUGAACCUUGGCCAUGGCUGCCAGUUUUACCACUGAGGAUACCCAUCCCUUUCCCUGUGUUUCUGCCUGCCUGGGACCUCUCUGCAUGUUACUUGAAUUGCUCUCCCUAUCAUGUUCUUCUUUGGUUCAUGCCUUUUAUCUUGUCAGAGUUGCGAAGACUUUCUGAUGAAGACAUGCUCACCAACCGAGAAAAGUCCUUCCCAGCAAAGGUAUGCUGUUCAAUGUUUAAUAACCAGCUCUUCAUGGAGACGGGGAAGUCCUGAUCUGCAGAACUUGCCAAUUUCUUUGGUGUGAAUAUUCCUGUUAUAGGUGAUUGCAAGGAUCUUUGAUCUCAGGCUGAAUGGAGGAAGAAGAGCUUUUCUAGUUGACGCCUGUCACAGAGAUCUGAUGAAGUCAAUGUAAAUGAGUCCGCAGAAGCUUGAUAGCCUAUAGAAGUCCUUGAAAAUCCCGAAUGGCACGAGAAGGUUGAAAACUAGUCAAGAUGCUGAUAUCUUCAAGAAGUUAAAUAUAACCUAAAAAAAUUAUUUGUCACAGAAUAAGGUUGGUUUAAAAAAUUGUAAAGGGGAGGAGAGUGGAGAUUCAAGCCUAGAGAGGAAGGCUGAAUAAGAAGAAAGUAAUUGUGAAGUCAACUGUAAAAUAUUUCCUGGGUCUCACCUGGUAAAUCCACACGGGCUUCCUGAAAGAGGAAGGCUAGAGUUACUUUUGAGUUGCCUUUCAAAUGAUAAGCAGGGUCCUUGAGUAAACAGGAAAUGAAAGACUCGAGAGAGUAGCUGAGGAAGGAUGCAGAAGUGAAAAGGAGAGGGGAGCCAUCAGCACCCCAGAUUUAAUUUGAUGGAGAAUUUUCUCUAUUUGUUUAUGUGUGUGCCCGUCUUUAUUAGACUGUCUGUUUGCCUUUCAAGGGCUGGGACUGUGCCUCAUUCACCUUCAUAUUCUAGUAUAAUGCAAGCUUAGGAAAUUAUUGUCUAAAUACAUACACUCAGACAUAAAUGGAUGAGAGUAAGAAUAAAGGCAUAAGUGGUGGUAUUUAGCAGCAGCCUUGGCUGUGAGCUUAAGACUGUUUUUUGUGACCUGCCAUCUUCCUUUGCGCAACAACACAGCUCAUGAUGAUGUUCCAGAGCAUUUUGCCACCAGAAAAUGAGGCUUGCUUUUGGUCUUUUGAAGGAAGACUGCAGUGAACAGUUAAAUUGACUUUAAAUUUAGCAGCAUUGGGCAAGAAUAGAAAUGUUCUAAUCCUGUCUCCUCCUACGGAAUGUGAAUUGUGGUCAAAGUAAUAUGUUUUUGCCUUCUGUGAUUUCGAUCAAAUUUCAUAGGCCAGACAGGGCGUAGGGAGCCAGGCUGCACAGCCACUCUCCCUGGUAAACAGUGUCACACCUCCCUUGGACAGCCCAGGGUACCAUGUGUGCCCUGGCGUUACAGACACCUCACCAGGGCUUGUCUGUUCUCCCUGCCUUGUUUCUCAGCCCAGUGUUCAUGUGGAGUUUGGCUUCCUCUUCUUAGAACUGGGAAAGGCAACGCUGUGCAGGUGUGAGAGGUACAUACACAUGCGCCCAGAAGAUGCUGCCCCAGAAAAACAUACCCAGGGCCUGUAUUUGACUCAGAGUUUAAGGUCUUACUUUUCAUUAGAAAAUAAGAUCACUAGCUCUAAAAUUUCCACUGGGGAAGACUGGGUUGGCUUAGCAGGGCAGUGCUAUCUGAUGGGCAGCUGUAUUCUAUAAAGUAGAUGAGGGAAGAUGACAGAAUGGCAUGUCUGUGGGCAGAAAGCAGAAGGGAAAUUGGCUUCCCUUCAUAGGCCACUAAGGAAAGGGUUAUCCAGUGGCCUGCUGGAUUUGACACUAUCUGCCUGCCACAUCUGAGCUCAGCAUUUUUGCUUUGACACGCAUGGGUCAUUCUACCCAUUGAGCUUCAGCAAUUCCCUAUUACAGAUGCUUAUUGGCAACAGAAUCUUAAGUCCAAUAAAGGAGCAAAGAGAUUUUACUUUGGAAGGAAAUACUAUGGAUUCUUCAGUCAUUCAGAGGCCUCACCUCCUCCCUUAAUGAGUGCUCCCAAUGUAAAGGUAUAAUGACUGGCUAACUAAAUGCUUUGGGGGUAUAGGAAUGAGGACACACAUCUAGAAAAGUGGAUUUUAGAAGAAGAAAAGACAGUAUAAUGAAAACAAGUUUAAGAAAGAGCAAAAAUAAAAUUUGACUUAUGUAUAUCAAUUGUGAUGAACUGUAAUUAUGCAUUACAUGGAACAAGUCUACACAAUCAGAUAAGAAUUCUUCACUAAUUUCCUCUUUAUUUGUCUAUGUCAUAAUCCACACUAGGGAAGAAACAACCUCUACUUUUUAAAAGUCACAAAUAUUAAGCCUAUAAAAAUAUCAAUAUCUUAUCAAAGUUUAGCUCAAAUUUAUACAGGAAAACAAAGGUUCAUUCCAACCCACCUAGCUUCUUCUGAUGGUUUAUUAAGUAGUAUUUAAGAAAAUUGAGUCUCAUAUUAUCUGGCCAAAAGAUAUUUUUCUUGCCUCUGUAUUAUUAAACAACACUUACUGAGACUAUUCAUCAGAUGUCCAGAUUAAUCUUGACGGUGAAGAAUACAUGAACUCUAUAUGCAAUCUUAAAAAGGAGUAAUAUAAUAUGCUAGUUUUCUCUUUCGUGUCCAUUCCUCAAAACUUGAUUAUUAUUAGGUUAGGCUCAUCCUUUACUAAUUACCUUUAGUUAAGAUUUCUUAGUUUGCAAAAAUUAUUGAAUUUAUAUUGACUUAACUGAAUGAGCAUUUGAAAACUGUCUCUCAUAGUUCAUCAUGAGUACUGAAUUGUUCCUCCUCUUUUUCUUUAAGUUUCUUCUCUUUACUACAUAUUUUUCCCCAACCAGUUAUUUUUGUUGUUGUUAUUUGCUUCUUAAAAAUUCUGUGAGGCUUAUUUUUAGAAUAUUUUAUAAAUCUGGCUAUGUCUAAGAAUGGCAAACUAUGAUAAUUGAUGUACUUAAUAUUUGCUAACACAUGUCUAUUCCACUGUCAAUGAAAAGACUGUGCUUGCUUUGAUCAAGAAUUAGCCAAAAUUUGGAACUCUCAGAAAGCUAUUUAUUUAUUCCAGAACAAAGCAUUUGGUUUGUACUACCAUCAAAAUAUUCUAAGUGGCUAGUUACACUGGUAAAAAAAAUAAGAUAUCUCUUUUGUUCAGGCCUUCAGAAUUUUAACAUCAUACAAAAUCAAUAAAGCUCUUAAAUGUAAAUCUAUGAAGAUGAGACACACUGAUUUCUUGGCUAUUGUUUACUGAGGUGAUUAAAAAAAGCCUUGCAGCCCAAACAGAAUUUUAUUUUCUCUGUCAAUAAGAACAAUAUACUUCCAUGGAUAAGUAUGUCAUCUAUGGAAGCAUUUCAGAUGUCUGUGUUGCAGAUGCAGAAGUUAUCUCUUGGGAUUUCCCUGCACCACAUCACAUACUAGACUAUCCAUUGUAGGAAAAGAUGGUUGGGUCGAUUAUAGGAGUUGUCCUUGGAAUCAAUUCCAAGCGCUCCAGAAACUUACAUCUAUAGGUCUGACUUAAUGUAAUUCAUAAUUGUCCCAUGUUAUAGGUCUGACCUAAUGUAAUCCAUAAUUGUCCCAUGUUAUUUUUUAAAAUGUGGCUGAUAUAGAUCUCCUAGAAAAAGGUCACAUAAUUAGAAUUAUUUCAGUAUUUAAUUUACAGGGAAAUUCGGGGGUUCAAAGUAGUCAGGAGAUGCUUUAAGUGAAAGACGUUGCCUAAGGCCGUUCUAGUAAGUAUGAUAACGGUUUGUAAAAUCACCAUCAGCUACAUCGUCAUUUGAAAACAGAUUUAAGAAAUAUAUAUAUACUCAAAGCACUGCACUAAAGGAAAACAGACCAAGACUAGUAAUAUUAAUCCACUGUCAUCCAGUUGGCUGGCCUACCUGCUACAGAAGCUGAGGCUCAGCUGGCCUGCCAAUGGGCUUGAGCCCGUGGGGAUCUGUGACUGUACCAUGACUCACUGACCCUGCAAAAGCCAAACUGGCUCCGUUGUCUUUGUCCAGAGUCCUCAUUUCAAGGCCUUGGCCUCUCUUGCCUCUUUACCAAGGUAAAAGGCAGCAAUAAGUAUGAAGAGUCAGACAAAAAAAAAAACA
rnacentral:lncRNA from 10 species